rnacentral:rRNA from 1 species
CGGCGGCCACGGCGGCCGGGGCACACCCGGACCCAUACCGAACCCGGAAGUUAAGCCGGCCAGCGCCGAUGGUACUGCAGGGGCGACCCUGUGGGAGACUAGGGCGCCGCCGG